AUCGAACGCUGGCGGCAUGCCUUACACAUGCAAGUCGAACGGCAGCACGGGAGCAAUCCUGGUGGCGAGUGGCGAACGGGUGAGUAAUAUAUCGGAACGUGCCCAGUAAUGGGGGAUAGCCCGGCGAAAGCCGGAUUAAUACCGCAUACGACCUACGGGUGAAAGCGGGGGAUCGCAAGACCUCGCGUUAUUGGAGCGGCCGAUAUCAGAUUAGCUUGUUGGCGGGGUAAAAGCCCACCAAGGCGACGAUCUGUAGCUGGUCUGAGAGGACGACCAGCCACACUGGGACUGAGACACGGCCCAGACUCCUACGGGAGGCAGCAGUGGGGAAUUUUGGACAAUGGGCGCAAGUCUGAUCCAGCCAUGCCGCGUGUGGGAAGAAGGCCUUCGGUGUAACAC
rnacentral:rRNA from 1 species